ensembl:lincRNA
CGGGAGCGGAGGGCGUGGUCAGCGUGCAGAGCGGGGGCGCGGGGCGGGGCUUCUGCAGAGCUAGGGUCUAAGGAAGAACUGCUAAGACCUGGAAGAGUUGUACUGCUUACUUCUCUCUGCUGAAUUCCAGUAGGCAGCGAUUCCAAAGACACCCCCGACCCAGUAGCAAUCGGAUCCUAGUGCCAGCCCACUCUGAAAUCAUCUCCGCUUUCCGUGUCUCAGCUGUGCUGGAUUGCAACUCCCAGGCGGUCCUGCGGCCGUGGCUGAUUUGGGUAGUUGCGUCUGUGGUCAGUCGCCUUGACAACCUGGUUGAGGUGAAGCAGGGUGUGGCGGCUGGAGGCGUCCUUCCGCAGCUGUGCCUCGGUACUGCGCCCUCUCCCUGCGUCCUCCAUUGCUUACUCCUUGUGAGCGGCGGUACUUUCCGGGUGUCCCCGGUGUGUCUCUCUGGGUGACAGCGGCACCAGCGGUGUCUGGGGACUCAGGCCUGCUCUGCGGGCGGCGCAGCUCCGAGCAGGAGAGGGGAAGUUACGGGAGGUUGAGGGGUGCUUUUCCCCGCAUCGGGUUAUGGCUGUCUGCUCUGCCUGGUCCUCUCAGCGCUUCCUAGGAAGUCUGCGGAUAAAGUCCUCAGGAAAGCGAGGUGGAGUCCGCUGGACUUCAAGUCAGGUGGCUUUUCCUGAAAGGCACAGCCUUUUCGGGAGUGGAAGCUGCCAUUCCAGUGUCAGUGGUUCCCUGUGCCACCUCCACUAUGCUGGCUCAUGCCAUCAUGACACCUAGAAGAGCUGUGCCAACCAGCAUGGAUUUGCCAUCUUCCCUGGACUAGAAGAUCUGAUUCCGGAGAUUUGAUGUAACACCAGGACAAUGUGGAGAAAGACGAGUUCCAAGUAUGAACAACAACAUCAUGUUAUAUCUUGAGAUCAUAAUACUAAGUGUGAUAGAGAAGACUAUUAUAGAUAACAAAAACCUAUAAAGUGUCACAGUGUAAAAUGGCUUCUGCUAUCUCUAACUUGUUUUGUUUAGCUCAGAACAGGCACCAAAGGCACUAAUUGCCAAAUGAGGCAUUUGGUCUUACCCUAAGAUAACAAGACCUUGAGCUCUGAAGAGACUGGAGCCACAUGAUCAUAAAAAGUGUCAAGAUGAAAAGGACCAUGGCUAACAUUUGCUACCCUGACCCUGAAAACCCCUUCCUAUGGGCUAGGAUAGAUAACUAGGCAAAUCUUAAAGGUAAACUUCCCUACUACAAGGAAUUAUUACAUCUGGGUUGAAAGUUAACUAUCCUGUGACUAUGAUGUGCACUAUGAGAAUGAAAUGUAACCACCCAAACCAAGUCAAGGCUGUGAAACUCUAUAAAAGGAGGAAUUGUAAGCCAGUGAGUUGUUGAUCUAGGCACUGCUUAUGAGUGUUUGACCCUCAUGGAGGAGUACAUUUAUUAUUUUACUUCCAUUCUGCUGCCUCUGUGUGUGUUGCUUACUGAUUCCUUCCUUAACAAGUGAAGUAAAUCAGACACACAAAUUUAUAUAGCACAUGGUUUCUGUUAUAUGAGAAACUAUAUACAAAGUGCAAAAUAAAAGACAAGAGGAAAAGGGCCAGGGUUUUAGCUCAGCGGUUCUGUUGCCUGCCUUGCAAGCACAAGCUCCCAAGUUUAAUCCCUGGUACCCCCCGCCCAAAUGAAAAACAAAAAAAGUUUGCAAACAAACAAAGACAAGAGGAAAAAGAAAAAAGUUAUUGUAAUUCAGUAUGGACAAUUUAUUUAAAAGUAAUACCUUGAUUUAGUAUAAUUAUCUUAUAUUUUUUAUGUUUUUUGGCCUGUUAGUCUGGCA